CCAGGCGGGUCUACAGUGAACUAAAAUGAAUGGAAAGUGUAUUGUGUCAAUGAAAAAUGGGAGUACCGUCACUAUGAAAUAUGCCUUUCAUCCCACAUGGCAUAAUCGGAGGCUGCAGUAUUUCUGAGCUGAAGUUCUAGUGUUCCUCUGGAGCCUGCACUUUAUCGCUAGGAGAGCAUGGGAGAUAAUGUAAAGGAUAAUACAGAGCCAUUGCCUUCAAGAUGACUGUCAGAGUGCUGUUAGCCUGUCAGACCCUCCCCUGGGGGCAGGGUCAGCCUGUCCGUCAGAGCUGAUUGACACCUGAGGGGUGUAAGCUAUCAAAGCCUCUGUCAGUGAGACAGGGUAGAAAAUAGGUGUGAUGGGUGAAGAAUUACUGAGAGUUUAGGGGGGAAAAGUGAUGGAGAAGAGGUGAGAAGACGCUGAAGGCAAAAAAAAGUGAAUUGAAGCCAGUGUGAGUGGUUUUUACAUUGGAAUCCUUCCCCUUCACUGUUAUUAGACGUCAGGGGCAUACUACCCUGUUAUUAUCGACCUUUGAGUCUUGGCUCCUCUCAAGGUUUCUUCCUCAUGCUCUAGGGAGUUUUU